GGGGCUGUGACGCAGUGGUAGCGUGUUCCAUUCGCAUGAUAUCUGCCUUCAAUGUAGAUGGUAAUGUUGGAAAAGUCGUGUGUUCGAGUCAUACCUGCUCCA
rnacentral:tRNA from 1 species